rnacentral:lncRNA from 1 species
CCCUGCAUCUGGGGUGGGAUCUGCUGACCACUCUGUCCUCAGCACUGGCCCCUGUCUUCUGUCUGUGCAUGGAGGCAGCCGUUCACUCUCUCCCUGGCCAGCUUUCAUUCAGCUAGGGGCAGCUUGGGUCUGUGGGAUUAAUCAGGUGCCGGUGACCACUCUUCCUCAGACCUGGGGUCAUUUCAUCCAUGAGGAAUUGAGAAAAGGAGGGAGAACAAAGACAACAGAUAUCUCCUUGUAAAUGACAAUGGCAAAGCUUGGGCAGGAAGAGAAUGAAUGCCUGCUGACCUCCUAUAUGCCAGGCACCAUGGGGACAUUGUCUCAUUCCCUGUGAGGCACAUGUCCCAUUUGGUAGAUGAGAAGAUGGAUUGGAUGGUCCAUUAUCACGCUGCUCAUAAAGACAAAUUGAGCUGGAAAAUUUACAAAAGAAAGAGAUUUAUUGGACUUACAGUUCCACGUGGCUGGGGAGGCCUCAAAAUCGUGGCAGAAAGCAAAAGGCACUUGUUACAUGGUGGUGGCAAGAGAGAGAAUGAGAGCCAAGUGAAAUGGAUUUCCCCUUAUUAAACCACCAGUUCUCGUGAGACUUAUUCACAACUACAAGAACAGUACGGGGGAAACUGCCCCAUGAUACAAUCAUCUCCCACCGGGUCCCUCCCACAACAUGUGGGAAUUAUGGGAGUACAAUUUAAGAUGAGAUUUGGGUGGGGACACAGAGCCAAACCAUAUUGGAUGGGUUCAGAGUGGUUAGAUGGCCCGCCCAAGGUUACACAGCUAGUUAGUGGCAACAGGAGCGAUUUGAACACAGAUCUGUUACACUCAGCUGGGAAAAAUUUAAGUUAUGGCUUAAAACUAGGAUUUUGCGUUUAAAAACAUUGAUCUGAGAAGGGAUCCACAGGUUUCAUCAUUCAGCCGAAGGGAUCCCCAGCAGCAAAAAUGUUAUGAACUCUUGCCCUGAAUUCUGCACCAUUAUAGAAAAUCAGAACGCGCCUAGCAAACAACUGGGCAGCAAAUGGAGUCGCAGAGUGCACAACACCAGACCCUGCUGGAGAACGCCCGUCUAGAAUUGUGCGAGCACAGACUGAAGGGAGGCCUGCAAGGCAGCAUGGGUACCCAGGGCUGAGAAAGACAGUCAGGGUUUUCUUAGGGAAGAUGUUUUGUCUUCCCCCAUCUCCUUAGUACCUAGCUCCAUGCCUGGCAGGUUCUCAGUAGCUGUUGGCCAAGUUGAAGUGAAUCUGGAUCUAGGUUUAGAAGGCUAAGGCUAGCAUACAGAAUAUUCCCCUUUUUAUGGGUACAUGGAGCCAAGUACAUGUGGAGGAAUAAGAAUGCUAAGAAAGGCCGGGCGCGGUGGCUCAAGCCUGUAAUCCCAGCACUUUGGGAGGCCGAGACGGGCGGAUCAUGAGGUCAGGAGAUCGAGACCAUCCUGGCCAACACGGUGAAACCCCGUCUCUACUAAAAAUACAAAAAAACUAGCCAGGUGAAGUGGCGGGUGCCUGUAGUCCCAGCUACUCGGGAGGCUGAGGCAGGAGAAUGGCGUGAACCCGAGAGGAGGAGCUUGCAGUGAGCUGAGAUCCGGCCACUGCACUCCAGCCUGGGGGACAGAGCAAGACUCCGUCUCAAAAAAAAAAAAAAAAAAAA